AGAGUUUGAUUAUGGCUCAGGAUGAACGCUAGCUACAGGCUUAACACAUGCAAGUCGAGGGGCAGCAUGGUCUAGCUUGCUAAGACUGAGUGGCGACCGGCGCACGGGUGAGUAACGCGUAUCCAACCGUUCCCCUUAGUAGGGCAUAGCCCGGCGAAAGUCGGAUUAAUACCCUAUGUUUUCCUAUGAUGACAUCUGAUUAGGAACAAAGAUUUAUCGCUAAGGGAUGGGGAUGCGUCUGAUUAGGUAGUUGGCGGGGUAACGGCCCACCGAGCCAUCGAUCAGUAGGGGUUCUGAGAGGAAGGUCCCCCACAUUGGUACUGAGACACGGACCAAACUCCUACGGGAGGCAGCAGUGAGGAAUAUUGGUCAAGUGGGGCGCGAGCCUGAACCAGCCAAGUAAGCGUGCAGGAUGACGGCCCUACGGGUUGCAAACUGCUUUUGUACGGGAAUAAAGUGUGGGACGUGUCCCAUUUUGUAUGUACCGUAAGAAUAAGGACCGGCUAAUUCCGUGCCAGCCGCGGC
rnacentral:rRNA from 1 species